UCUCCGUUGGUGAACCAGCGGAGGGAUCAUUACUGGAAUCGCAAGAUCCCACAACCCCUGUGAACCUACCGAAACGUUGCCUCGGCGGGCCCCCGGCCCUGCGCCGGGCGGUGAGCCCGCCGGCGGCCCCCUACUCCUGUCUCUGCAGCGUGGCAUCUCAGAAUCCCAGAAAACAAGUAAAAACUUUCAACAACGGAUCUCUUGGCUCUA
rnacentral:misc_RNA from 1 species